GAUGAACGCUGGCGGCGUGCUUAACACAUGCAAGUCGAACGGUGAACACGGAGCUUGCUCUGUGGGAUCAGUGGCGAACGGGUGAGUAACACGUGAGCAACCUGCCCCUGACUCUGGGAUAAGCGCUGGAAACGGCGUCUAAUACUGGAUACGAGCAGCGGCCGCAUGGUCAGUUACUGGAAAGAUUUUUUGGUUGGGGAUGGGCUCGCGGCCUAUCAGCUUGUUGGUGAGGUAAUGGCUCACCAAGGCGUGGACGGGGAGCCGGCCUGAGGGGGUGACGGGCCACACUGGGACUGAGACACGGCCCAGACUCCUACGGGAGGCAGCAGUGGGGAAUAUUGCACAAUGGGCGAAAGCCUGAUGCAGCAACGCCGCGUGAGGGAUGACGGCCUUCGGGUUGUAAACCUCUUUUAGCAGGGAAGAAGCGAAAGUGACGGUACCUGCAGAAAAAGCGCCGGCUAACUACGUGCCAGCAGCCGCAGUAA
rnacentral:rRNA from 1 species